GGCUUGUUCAAUGCACUCCUGAUC
rnacentral:sRNA from 1 species